UUUGCCCUUGCUUUUGGAUUCAUGUAUACCGACCUGCAAAUCUGGAAGCCUCUAUCUGGAAAUCUGGAAACCUCUAUUUACGCCGACCUAUUCCACCGACAAAGCCCUCUAUCAACAUCUAGAAGCCUCUAUCGAAUAGAGCAUGGAGCCUCUAUAUAUACCAAAAUUCGGUGAUUGUUUCAGGUUGCCACAGAAAGUGCAGAAAUCCAUCAAGCAAAUAAUCGUAGCCCACCAGUGUACACCCUUCUACUGAGUUACUGAGCCAAAUCUUUAGAGUGAAAUAGAGAGAGAGAGAGAGAGAGAGAGAGAGAGAGAGAUUCAGGGAAGGGGAUUGUCACCUCAUCAUCUCAGCGGGACUGUGUUCGUUUACUUAUCAAGGAAAGGAUCGAUCAAGAUUUGAUGCGAAAAAGUUUCCAUAUCAUUGGUUUGCCGCUGUUCCUUAUUCUGCUGUUUAGUAUUGUUAUCAUCAUUUGUGUGCAUUCAAGUAUAACCCUUCAGUUUUUCUUAUUUUGAUCUUCGUUUUUUAUUCAAAUAUAAAAUUUGAGAUGUUUUAUUCUGCUCAUGACCUAUUUUUCUUGGUGUUUAGCGGCCUGUGAUCCCAGGCCGUGCUGAAUAUGUACCCCAGGUAUAUCACUUUAUCACUCUACUUAUUAUGAUCCUUGCUUACUGUUACACUUUCUUAUACAAUCACUAUUAAAUGAUCCAGGUAUAUCUUUUUUCAAUACAUGAUUUCAGUAUCAAACAAAAUAACUGAGAGUUUUUUUUAUACCAGUAUGUGAUUUCACUAUUUUGUACACAAUCACUAUUAAACGUUCAAAUCUAUCAGCUGGCUGAACACAUUCCAAAUUCUAUCCUUCUCAAGGUUUUAUACUGCCACUAUAAUUCCAUAUCAACAACAUGUUCUUCACCAAGGCUGAGGGUUCAACUUUUCUCCUGCCAAACGAGAUUACAGAUAUCAGCAAGAUUCAUGUAAAACAUGCAUUCCUGAUUCUACCUCUUAAUGAUCAAUUCUUGGAUCGAUUAACUAAAAUUUUGAUCCAAAACUAUUUCAUUCAGUUAUCUCAAAUUUGGAUCAACCUCUCUCUUUCCAACUUGGCUUUAACUGAUGCUGAGGUCUUCUUUACCUCAAUCAAGACUUCUAAUUCAUUAAUAACACUAGAUCCCGCAGCAAAGCGCGGGCAGCUAUUGCUAGUCAACUACGAAAUUUCAAGUCUUUCCUUUUGAGUUGUUUCUUCAAUAUAAGAAUUACAUUUUCCGAUAGUUUAACAA